CAUUCCUCUUCCAUCACCUCCUCUACCACCACCGGUUCACUCUCCCCCACCUCCUGUCAACUCUCCUCCACCGCCGGUUCACUCUCCUCCACCGCCAGUCCACUCUCCACCACCACCACCACCACCGCCUGUCUACUCUCCUCCACCACCCGUCUUUUCACCACCUCCUCCUCCGGUUAACUCACCACCACCACCAGUUCUCUCUCCACCGCCACCUGUUCACUCACCGCCGCCACCUGUCAACUCCCCACCACCACCGGUCUUUUCUCCUCCAGCUCAUCCGCCUAAGUCCAGUUCACCACCGCAAACACCAAGCGAACCUUCACCAUCACCAAUGAUCUUUUCUCCACAACCGUCGCAAUCUCCACCAGCAGUCUCCUCCCCUCCUCCAGGACCGCCAAAGGUCGACUGCCCACCGGCUGCACAAGCACCAGCUCCAAGUGAU
rnacentral:lncRNA from 1 species